rnacentral:rRNA from 1 species
UACGUAGGGGGCAAGCGUUAUCCGGAAUCAUUGGGCGUAAAGCGUCCGCAGGUGGCUAUGUAAGUCUGCUGUUAAAGAGUCUAGCUCAACUAGAUAAGAGCAGUGGAAACUACAAGGCUAGAGUACGUUCGGGGCAGAGGGAAUUCCUGGUGUAGCGGUGAAAUGCGUAGAGAUCAGGAAGAACACCAGUGGCGAAGGCGCUCUGCUAGGCCGUAACUGACACUGAGGGACGAAAGCUAGGGGAGCGAAUGGG